rnacentral:lncRNA from 1 species
GAGGAUAGUUCUUCGUCUUCCUCUUCUUCUCAUAUUUCUCUUGAGCACUUGGCAAUACGGGAUUGUGAAUCUCUAAAGUCGUUAUCAUUGAGAGCCCAGUUGUUUCCCAAGGCGCUUAAACGCCUUCACAUAUCCCAUUGUGGAGAGCUGCAGUUAAUAAUGUCCGAUGAGUUAGCCCACGACAACACUAAUUAUUGUCUUGAAUAUAUUAGCAUCGAUUCUUGCCCAAAUCUGAAAUCCUUACCGGAGGGCCUAUGCCACCUCACCAAUCUUAAAACUUUAGAGAUUUAUCGUUGUGGGAGUCUGGUUUCCAUCCCGAGCCUGAGUGGUGAGGGUUUGCCUUCGCCAACAACAACAGCCGCCUCCAGCCUGAAACAAAUCUACAUUCAAAAUUGCAACAAAUUGGAAAUGUUACCGGACAUGGGCAAUCUCAACUGUCUUCAGGGAUUGAAUAUUGAUUACAGUGAAGGUUUAAAUUUCACUUCCUUUCCCCCCAACCUAACAUCACUUACAAUCCGCGGAAUCAAGAAUUGUAAGCCGCUGUGGGAGUUGUUGCACAGGCUCACAUCUCUUACAGUGUUGCGGGUCGAUGGUGAAGACCCAUAUGUUGUGUCGUUUCCACCCGAAGGUGACACGGGUAUGGAUACGGAGAUGCUGCUCCCCGAAUCUCUCACUCAUCUCUUAAUUCGGGGCUUCCCAAAUCUGAAGAAACUGAG